CCCGGGAGCUGCGCCCGCCACCUCCUCCGGGACUGUCGGGCAUCUGCCCGCGCGGCCGGCGGGGCGUCCGGGCCGCGGCGAGCCCAGGGCCCGGCUCGGGCCAUGGCCGGGUGGCGGCUGUCUGGCUGCAGGGUCAGCGCCCUCCCCGCGCUACUGUCGCUGCUGCAGCUGCUGCUGACUCUCGGGCCGGCGACGCCGGGCAUCACGUGCCCUCCUCCCACGUCGGUCGAACAUGCGGACAUCCAGGUCAAGAGUUACAAGGUGAGCUCCAGGGAGCGGUACACCUGUAACUCUGGCUUCAAGCGUAAAGCCGGGACAUCCAGCCUGACCGAAUGCGUGUUCAACAAGACCAUGAACGUGGCCCACUGGACAAUUCCCAAUCUCAAGUGCAUCAGAGACCCCUCCCUGACUCACCUAAGGCCAUCCUCCACAGAAGUGCCAGCAGGGGUGACCCCAGAGCCAGAGAGCACCUCCCUUUCUGGAAAAGAACCAGCUUUCACUUCCAAGUCAGACACCACAGUGGCCACCGAGCCCGAUAUUGUGCUAGACUCCAGGCCGAUGCCAUCAAAGCCUCCUGCUACAGGAACCACAGGGCCGAUCAGUCAGGAACCCUCCCAAGCCCCACCUCAGACAACAGCAAAGGCCUUGGAACGCACUCCCUCCGCCUCACAGGAGAGGCCAGGUACAUAUUCAUACAAUUCUGGAACUGUGACUGCGGCCAUCGCCACACCUGUCACUGUGCUCGGUGUAGUAUGCGUGGUGCUUCUUCUGGUCUGUUACCGAAAAUCCAGCCAUGCACAUCAGAGGAAGUGGACAGCCACAAACUCCAGGAAAGGAAAUCCUGAUUAUUUGAAGCCAGGCCCUUGCCAGUGAUUGGUCUAGGACUGGGCAGGUGACCUAGUUGUGACCAUGGAGACGCCGUGUGCUUCCGCGUGGAGAGAAGGAGAGAUGAGCCCGCAGAAGCACAGAACAACUGCACGAUGUGGCCAAAGGCCAGGUGGGACGAGAGCGCCGCUUCAAGAGGAGGAUAAUGGAGAAAAAUGGAUGGACUCAAGAUUCACGAGAGAUUUAAGGCUAUGAUUUACAGAAGUAAAAUAUCCCUUUGGAAACAAAUAUGGAACGCUUAUCUUUUUCUCCCAACCUGAUCCCUCCAGAAUUCAGAAACUCUCCGUGACUAUUCUUAUUUUCAUGGCAAUGUAUUUAUUUGCAUAAGUUCAGUAAGAAUCUGGUCUCCUUAUGACAGAACGCAAUUGCAAACAACGGUUACAUUACCAAGGCUUUGAGAGGAAUGUCAUAUUUGGUCAGAUAUGACCAGACAGUUUUAAGGAAGUAAGGGUGACUUUAUGGAGCCAAUGAAAACCCUUGGAAAAAUAGGUCUGGUAUCUUGCUUACAGGGUUCCCAGCAGCCUUACCAUGGGAGUAAAGAAGGUCACCUCCCAGCAGGUGCAGGAACCUCAAGAAAUUCUGGGGACCUCAAAGAGAGGAAUUCACCCAAAUCUACAGGUAUUGCAGGCAAAGUCUGAUGGCAAGUAUUUAGCUUGCCUUCUUAGCCUCAAGAGGCUGUUAAAAGUUCAAUCUGAAAUUCCUUGUAAGUUCCAGCAAAGCAAAUUUAACAACAACAAAAAAGGCCAAUCACUAUUCUUGCCAUGCUUAUGUGAACAAUUAGGCCAACUCUGUUAAAACUGGGCUUAUGUUACAAACAAAUGAGUCUUCAUUUGGCUAUCAUUGAAAAUGAGAGUGACUUUAGAAAAACUGUUCCAGUAACACACCUUUGUGGGUGUUAAGAUUCUAGUUCUGAAUUAAAAGUCUUUGAGGGUCUGUUUGCCUGUUCAACCGGACUAAAGCCUUGCUGGGUGCUCGGCUUCCGUGAAGAGUGGCCCUCAGAAGGAGUUUUAAGCCCCUGUGCUAUGUUAUUUGGAAGAUUCUUUCUACACCUGUCAUGACUUAGGAAUUCCUGACAGGGCUCACGUUGGGGAGCUGGACACUAUCCGGUAUGUUCGAUCCAUCUUUGCUUCCAGCAGGCUGAUGUGCCCCACAGCUGUGCUCUUAUGCCACCUGAGUCCUGGGCGGGUGGUGCAGGCACCCAGGGGUCCAACACCAGCCUCGGUAGGACCACACGAGGUACUGCUGACCACCCCUUCUUCAGUGAAGCUACGGGGAAGGAUGCCGGGGAUCCACUGCACUCGAACUGCAGGAUCCACAGGGUCCCUCCACCCUGUCCAGCAAGGACAACCUCCAAAAUAACCCCGCUUGCAGCAGCGAGCCUCUGACCGACCUGAAACUGCUGUUUAGGAGGGCUUGUCUGAAGAAAUCAGCUGAUGAAUACAACCAGCUACCCGGUUACAAGAAGCCUCCCCUAAUGUCCUAGAUAAACUGAAGUCACAUACACUGUAAGAACGAAUAACCAAGGUACAAAAAUCGUGCUAAUGCAGAACGUUGGGUUUCAACCUGGACCUGAGGAGUAUUUCUAAACAAGAGCAGGUUUCCAUUCCUCUAACCCCCAUCUCCGCCCCACUUCAGCAGGAAGUAAGUAGGUGGGUCAUCGUCCCAAUUCCCUCAAGAAUGAGGAAUGACCAAAGGACAGUGGGCUUGAAACCCAGAACCAGAGGGUUAGCGGUUCGACCACACGCAGCAGCGACUUGAACCGGGACCCUUCUCGUGUGCUUUUCAAUUUCCUCACUCCCUUCCUUCCCACCUCCUUCCUUCCCCUCUCCCGAGGCUGCCUCUUGAAUAAACACUUUCCCUGCUGCAUCCUCACGUCUCAGUCACUGUCUCUGGGGCACAUGGGGCAGAUGAACCUGGGUCCAGGGACACGCACGGCACCUACUGUGAGGAGUCAGACUCAGUAGUGCCCAGAAGGCCCCCAACCUGAGAACUGGGGCUCGCCCCAACGACACUCCUGAGCAGUGGGGCGCACGUUCUCCCACCGGCACCCGGACGAUGCCCACCUCCCAUCAUUCUUGCCAAUACCUGAAAAGGUCAAACUUUUCAUUGUUACCAAUCUGAUUAUUUUAGUUUGCAUUUCCUAGACUGUGACACAGGUUGGUUUGUUUGUUUGUUCUGUUUUUUAAUCUAUUCAUUCGCCAUGAGGGUUCCUUUAACUGUGAACUUCUCAUUUCUAUCUUUUGCCUACCACUAGGUUGCCUGUUUCUUAUAAAUCCGCAGUUCUUUAUGACCUUGGCCAGUCCUCUGCAGUUACACCAAGCUCCAGGAGGGCAGAGCUCAGGUCUGCUCAUGGCUACACUCUCAGAACAGUGCCUAGCACACAGCUGGCAAAACAAGCAUCUCAAAGGAUGUUUUUUAGAGGUUAACUAAAUGUUGGCUAUUAUUUUAUCACACUGAAGAUUUACAACUUGAUGUAAUCAGAAAUAACUGUUUUAGGACUUCCCAUU